rnacentral:rRNA from 1 species
AGGGUUUGAUCCUGGCUCAGAACGAACGCUGGCGGCGUGGAUUAGGCAUGCAAGUCGAGCGAGGACAGGGGCUACGGCCCCUGAGUCGAGCGGCGAAAGGGUGAGUAAUGCAUAGGCAAUCUACCCGAGAAUUCGGGAUAACCACUGGAAACGGUGACUAAUACCGGAUGGCCCUGGUUGUUGGCAUCAUCGACCAGGUAAAGGGGGGGAUCUUCGGACCUCUCGUUCUCGGAGGAGCCUAUGUCCUAUCAGCUAGUUGGUGGGGUAACGGCCCACCAAGGCGAUGACGGGUAGCCGGGCUGAGAGGUUGACCGGCCACACUGGGACUGAGACACUGCCCAGACUCCUACGGGAGGCUGCAGUCGAGAAUCAUCCGCAAUGGGCGAAAGCCUGACGGUGCGACGCCGCGUGGAGGACGAAGGCCUUCGGGUUGUAAACUCCUGUCACGUGAUGAGAAAUGCAAAGCUCUAGCAUAGCUUUGUUUGACAACUCAUGAGAGGAAGUCACGGCUAACUCUGUGCCAGCAGCCGCGGUAAUACAGAGGUGGCAAGCGUUGUUCGGAAUCACUGGGCAUAAAGGGCGCGUAGGCGGUUGGUCAAGUCGGUUGUGAAAGCCCUCGGCUCAACCGAGGAACUGCAUCCGAUACUGGCUGGCUAGAGUAUGGUAGGGGAGAGUGGAACUCCUGGUGGAGCGGUGAAAUGCGUAGAUAUCAGGAGGAACGCCGGUGGCAAAAGCGACUCUCUGGACCACAACUGACGCUGAGGCGCGAAAGCUAGGGGAGCGAACGGGAUUAGAUACCCCGGUAGUCCUAGCCCUAAACGAUGGGCACUAGGUAGUGGGAGGUCCGAUCUUCUCACUGCCGGAGCAAAUGUGUUAAGUGCCCCGCCUGGGGAGUACAGUCGCAAGGCCGAAACUCAAAGGAAUUGACGGGGGCUCACACAAGCGGUGGAGGAUGUUGCUUAAUUCGAAGCAACGCGAAGAACCUUACCUGGGCUUGACAUGCUCGUGGUACGGACCCGAAAGGGCGAGGACCAGUUUACUGGAGCGAGCACAGGUGUUGCAUGGCUGUCGUCAGCUCGUGGCCCUCGUGAGAUGUUGGGUUAAGUCCCGUAACGAGCGAAACCCUUGCCGUUAGUUGCCAGCGGGUAAUGCCGGGGACUCUAGCGGGACUGCCGGUGUCAAACCGGAGGAAGGUGGGGACGACGUCAAGUCAUCAUGGCCCUUACGCCCAGGGCUGCAAACGUCCUACAAUGGUCGGUACAAAGGGAUGCAAGACCGCAAGGUGGAGCGAAUCCCACAAAGCCGGCCCCAGUUCGGAUUGUGGGCUGCAAUUCGCCCGCAUGAAGCCGGAAUCGCUAGUAAUCGCGGAUCAGCACGCCGCGGUGAAUAUGUUCCUGAGCCUUGUACACACCGCCCGUCAAGCCACGGGAAUCGGUAGCACCCGAAGUCGUUUGCCUAACCCUUCGGGGAGGGCGGCGCCGACGGUGAGAUCGAUGACUGGGACUAAGUCGAACAAGGUA